GCUGGGCACAGUGGCACACGCCUGUAGUCCCAGCUACUUGGAAGGCUGCAGCAGGAGGAUCGCUUGAGCCCAGGAGUUCUGAGCUGUAGUGUGCUAUGAUCGGGUGUCCACAUUAAGUUCAGCAUCAAUAUGGUGAUCUCCCAGGAGCAGGGGACCACCAGGUUGCCUAAGGAGGGGUGAACUGGCCCAGACUGGAAACAGCAGGUCAAUAUUCCCCAUGUGAGGCCAAUUAGCAUCAUCCCAAACAUAGAGAUGGGGACCCAGAGGCUUGAAUGUUACACGUUGUGCC
rnacentral:SRP_RNA from 1 species